rnacentral:lncRNA from 1 species
CUUGAGAUCACUUUAUAGCUCCUUGACCUUUUGUAGAGGCUUUAUAACCUACUAGGACACUAGUGUGAUGUAUAACAGGCUUAGGAUUUCAGGGUAAGGCCCUUUAUGAUCCUGAGACCCCAGUGAGGUCUCAGAUCUAAUUUUCUUCAGUGGCUAGUGUUGUUUGGGUGUCAUCGGUAGCAUGAUUGGGGAUAGGAAGGGCCAGGGAUUUCCUAGGAGGAAUUUGACCAAAUUCCAACGAGUUUUGAGUUUUAGGGUUAGGCUUUAAAUCGAUAUUCGAAGGGUUCCAGGCAGAUUCGAAAAAGGUGACACACAUGGUUUGAAAGAGGAGAUCAAGAUGCCUCAGGGGUGUGAGUUUGGUGGGUUUUGGAAUUGGGUCGCCGGAGAUAAGGUUUCCGACGACCUUUCUGCGAAUAAUCGAGAGAGAAGGGGUUUAUUCAACGGGAACUAAACACAGGAUAGGAAAGAGGAGGUUGUGACGGUUUAGUGGUUUAAAUUUGGGGAGGUUUGAUUACCGGCCACCGCCGUUAGGCGAUUUUCGGCAGCAGCGUUAGGGUGGUAGGUGGGUAGUGAAUGGUGGUUGUGGGGUGGUCAAUGAAUGGUCAGCGGCGGUGUUACGUCGGGGAAGAUGGUAC